GCCGCGUGUGUGAAGAAGGCUUUCGGGUUGUAAAGCACUUUCAGCGAGGAAGAAAGCCUCUGGGUUAAUACCCCAGAGGAAGGACAUCACUCGCAGAAGAAGCACCGGCUAACUCCGUGCCAGCAGCCGCGGUAAUACGGAGGGUGCGAGCGUUAAUCGGAAUUACUGGGCGUAAAGCGCGCGUAGGUGGCUUGGCACGCCGGUUGUGAAAGCCCCGGGCUCAACCUGGGAACGGCAUCCGGAACGGCCAGGCUAGAGUGCAGGAGAGGAAGGUAGAAUUCCCGGUGUAGCGGUGAAAUGCGUAGAGAUCGGGAGGAAUACCAGUGGCGAAGGCGGCCUUCUGGCCUGACACUGACACUGAGGUGCGAAAGCGUGGGUAGCAAACAGGAUUAGAUACCCUGGUAGUCCACGCCGUAAACGAUGUCGACUAGCCGUUGGGACCUUUAAGGACUUAGUGGCGCAGUUAACGCGAUAAGUCGACCGCCUGGGGAGUACGGCCGCAAGGUUAAAACUCAAAUGAAUUGACGGGGGCCCGCACAAGCGGUGGAGCAUGUGGUUUAAUUCGAUGCAACGCGAAGAACCUUACCUACCCUUGACAUCCAGAGAAGUUGGCAGAGAUGCCUUCGUGCCUUCGGGAACUCUGAGACAGGUGCUGCAUGGCUGUCGUCAGCUCGUGUUGUGAAAUGUUGGGUUAAGUCCCGUAACGAGCGCAACCCUUGUC
rnacentral:rRNA from 3 species